GACGAACGCUGGCGGCGUGCUUAACACAUGCAAGUCGAACGGAAAGGCUCCAGCUUGCUGGAGUACUCGAGUGGCGAACGGGUGAGUAACACGUGGGUAAUCUGCCCUGCACUCUGGGAUAAGCCUGGGAAACUGGGUCUAAUACUGGAUAUGACCUUUCUCCUUAUGGGGUUUGGUGGAAAGUUUUUCGGUGUAGGAUGAGCCCGCGGCCUAUCAGCUUGUUGGUGGGGUGAUGGCCUACCAAGGCGACGACGGGUAGCCGGCCUGAGAGGGUGAUCGGCCACAUUGGGACUGAAAUACGGCCCAGACUCCUACGGGAGGCAGCAGUGGGGAAUAUUGCACAAUGGGCGGAAGCCUGAUGCAGCGACGCCGCGUGAGGGAUGACGGCCUUCGGGUUGUAAACCUCUUUCAGCAGGGACGAAGCGUAAGUGACGGUACCUGCAGAAGAAGCACCGGCUAACUACGUG
rnacentral:rRNA from 1 species